rnacentral:rRNA from 1 species
CGAAGGGGCUAGCGUUGCUCGGAAUUACUGGGCGUAAAGGGCGCGUAGGCGGCGGCCCAAGUCAGGCGUGAAAUUCCUGGGCUCAACCUGGGGACUGCGCUUGAUACUGGGUUGCUUGAGGAUGGAAGAGGCUCGUGGAAUUCCCAGUGUAGAGGUGAAAUUCGUAGAUAUUGGGAAGAACACCGGUGGCGAAGGCGGCGAGCUGGUCCAUUACUGACGCUGAGGCGCGACAGCGUGGGGGAGCAAACAGGAUU